AACUACGUGCCAGCAGCCGCGGUGAUACGUAGGGUGCGAGCGUUGUCCGGAUUUAUUGGGCGUAAAGGGCUCGUAGGUGGUUGAUCGCGUCGGAAGUGUAAUCUUGGGGCUUAACCCUGAGCGUGCUUUCGAUACGGGUUGACUUGAGGAAGGUAGGGGAGAAUGGAAUUCCUGGUGGAGCGGUGGAAUGCGCAGAUAUCAGGAGGAACACCAGUGGCGAAGGCGGUUCUCUGGGCCUUUCCUGACGCUGAGGAGCGAAAGCGUGGGGAGCGAACAGGCUUAGAUACCCUGGUAGUCCACGCUGUAAACGGUGGGUACUAGGUGUGGGGUCCAUUCCACGGGUUCCGUGCCGUAGCUAACGCUUUAAGUACCCCGCCUGGGGAGUACGGCCGCAAGGCUAAAACUCAAAGGAAUUGACGGGGACCCGCACAAGCGGUGGAUGAUGUGGAUUAAUUCGAUGCAACGCGAAAAACCUUACCUACCCUUGACAUGGAAGGAAUCCCGAAGAGAUUUGGGAGUGCUCGAAAGAGAACCUUUACACAGGUGCUGCAUGGCUGUCGUCAGCUCGUGUCGUGAGAUGUUGGGUUAAGUCCCGCAACGAGCGCAACCCUUGUUCACUGUUGCCAGCACGUUAUGGUGGGGACUCAGUGGAGACCGCCGGGGUCAACUCGGAGGAAGGUGGGGAUGACGUCAAGUCCUCAUGGCCCUUACGGGCUGGGCUACACACGUGCUACAAUGGCGCAUACAAAGAGAAGCGACCUCGCGAGAGCAAGCGGACCUCAUAAAGUGCGUCGUAGUCCGGAUUGGAGUCUGCAACUCGACUCCAUGAAG
rnacentral:rRNA from 1 species